rnacentral:hammerhead_ribozyme from 1 species
AUCCAGCUGACGAGUCCCAAAUAGGACGGAAAUGCGUUCUUCCUGGAU